UACAGAGGGUGCGAGCGUUAAUCGGAAUUACUGGGCGUAAAGCGUGCGUAGACGGCUAUCUAAGUCGGGUGUGAAAGCCCCCGGCUCAACCGGGGAACGGGCGCCGAUACGACCGGCCUGGAGGGACGUAGGGGGACCUGGAACUUCCGGUGGAGCGGUGAAAUGCGUUGAGAUCGGAAGGAACGCCCGUGGCGAAAGCGAGGUCCUGGACGUUUUCUGACGCUGAGACGCGAAAGCCAGGGGAGCGAACGGG
rnacentral:rRNA from 1 species